UAACAGGUGUUCAAAGAGUGAAUUCUGGAUGUCAUUAUUCAAUGAUUACUGCAUCUAAAGUUUUCAAAAACAAACUACGACAUCCUAUAAUCUAUGUAGUGGGGGGGAGUUUGGCUGUGUGUGUGUGUGUGUGUGUGUAUACGUGUGCAUUCUCUAAAAACAGAGUCUCUUUUGGUUAA
rnacentral:sRNA from 1 species